GACGAACGCUGGCGGCGUGCUUAACACAUGCAAGUCGAACGAAGUGGCGAACGGGUGAGUAACGCGUAAUCAACCUGCCCUUCAGAGGGGGACAACAGUUGGAAACGACUGCUAAUACCGCAUACUGAAGGAGGGGAUUGCGUCCGAUUAGUUAGUUGGAGGGGUAACGGCCCACCAAGGCGAUGAUCAGUAGCCGGUCUGAUGGGAGGAACGGCCACAGUGGUACUGGGGCACUGCCCAGACUCCGUCGGGAGGCCGCUGUGGGGAAUCUUCCGCAAUGGACGCAAGUCUGACGGCGCAACGCCGCGUGAUUGAUGACGGCCUUCGGGUUUUAAAGCUCUGUUAAUCGGGACGCGGUACCGGAAUAGAAAGCCACGGCUAACUACGUGCCAGCAGCCGCGGUAAUAC
rnacentral:rRNA from 1 species